GUGAACCUUUACUAUAGCUUGACACUGAACAUUGAGCCUUGAUGUGUAGGAUAGGUGGGAGGCUUUGAAGUGUGGACGCCAGUCUGCAUGGAGCCGACCUUGAAAUACCACCCUUUAAUGUUUGAUGUUCUAACGUGGACCCGUUACCCGGGUUGCGGACAGUGUCUGGUGGGUAGUUUGACUGGGGCGGUCUCCUCCUAAAGAGUAACGGAGGAGCACGAAGGUUGGCUAAUCCUGGUCGGACAUCAGGAGGUUAGUGCAAUGGCAUAAGCCAGCUUGACUGCGAGCGUGACGGCGCGAGCAGGUGCGAAAGCAGGUCAUAGUGAUCCGGUGGUUCUGAAUGGAAGGGCCAUCGCUCAACGGAUAAAAGGUACUCCGGGGAUAACAGGCUGAUACCGCCCAAGAGUUCAUAUCGACGGCGGUGUUUGGCACCUCGAUGUCGGCUCAUCACAUCCUGGGGCUGAAGUAGGUCCCAAGGGUAUGGCUGUUCGCCAUUUAAAGUGGUACGCGAGCUGGGUUUAGAACGUCGUGAGACAGUUCGGUCCCUAUCUGCCGUGGGCGCUGGAGAACUGAGGGGGGCUGCUCCUAGUACGAGAGGACCGGAGUGGACGCAUCACUGGUGUUCGGGUUGUCAUGCCAAUGGCACUGCCCGGUAGCUAAAUGCGGAAGAGAUAAGUGCUGAAAGCAUCUAAGCACGAAACUUGCCCCGA
rnacentral:rRNA from 3 species